rnacentral:pre_miRNA from 1 species
UCUUACGGAUGAGCAAAGAAAGUAGUUUCUUGAGGUUAAAUCUGCUCCUGGUGAAGAUACUGUGAA